GAUGAACGCUAGCGGCAGGCUUAACACAUGCAAGUCGAGGGGUAUAGGUUUUCGGACCUAGAGACCGGCGCACGGGUGCGUAACGCGUAUGCAAUCUACCUUUUGCAGAGGGAUAGCCCCAGAGAAAUUUGGAUUAAUACCUCAUAGUAUAUGGACUUCGCAUGGAGACCAUAUUAAAGUUCCAACGGCAAAAGAUGAGCAUGCGUCCCAUUAGCUAGAUGGUAAGGUAACGGCUUACCAUGGCUACGAUGGGUAGGGGUCCUGAGAGGGAGAUCCCCCACACUGGUACUGAGACACGGACCAGACUCCUACGGGAGGCAGCAGUGAGGAAUAUUGGACAAUGGGCGCAAGCCUGAUCCAGCCAUGCCGCGUGCAGGAUGACGGUCCUAUGGAUUGUAAACUGCUUUUAACACAGGAACGAAACAACGCUACGUGUAGCGUCUUGACGGUACUGUGAGAAUAAGGAUCGGCUAACUCCGUGCCAG
rnacentral:rRNA from 1 species